CCUACGGGUGGCAGCAGUGGGGAAUCUUGGACAAUGGGCGAAAGCCUGAUCCAGCCAUGCCGCGUGUGUGAAGAAGGCCUUCGGGUUGUAAAGCACUUUCAGUGGGGAAGAAAGCCUUGGGGCUAAUACCCUCGAGGAAGGACAUCACCCACAGAAGAAGCACCGGCUAACUCCGUGCCAGCAGCCGCGGUAAUACGGAGGGUGCGAGCGUUAAUCGGAAUUACUGGGCGUAAAGCGCGCGUAGGCGGUCUGAUAAGCCGGUUGUGAAAGCCCCGGGCUCAACCUGGGAACGGCAUCCGGAACUGUCAGGCUAGAGUGCAGGAGAGGAAGGUAGAAUUCCCGGUGUAGCGGUGAAAUGCGUAGAGAUCGGGAGGAAUACCAGUGGCGAAGGCGGCCUUCUGGACUGACACUGACGCUGAGGUGCGAAAGCGUGGGUAGCAAACAGGAUUAGAUACCCUGGUAGUC
rnacentral:rRNA from 1 species